rnacentral:lncRNA from 1 species
CAACUUAGAGCACACUCCUGGGAGUAGGAUCAGCAGGUUGCUGAUGGGGAGAUUGAGGUCCAGAGAGGUGCAGGGACUUGCCCAAAGUUUAUAUAUCAUGGUGGUGACAGAUCCAAGAUUAAAAUUUAGUUUUCCAGUAUAAUGGCUACAUUUUACCAGAAUUUUAAGUAAAUAACAAUUACAUAAUCCGGGAUCUUGGUCUCAGAAGUAGUCAUAAAAUGAGUGUAAAGCAGUUCACUGCAGCAUGUUUUUAAAAAAUAGGAGAGAAUUAUGAGCAAUCUGUAUAAAUCUCAGAAGAUGAUUGGUUACCUAAAGCAAUCUUUUUGAAACUGAGGUCAUAAUUUAUUAGUGGACAAUGAAAUCAAUUUAGCAGGUCAUGGUUACCAUUUUUAAAAAAUGAAAUAGGACAGAAUACAAAAUUUCAGCGCGUCACCCUUAGUAAGAGAAAGUGUUAUGUCAUGAAAUAUUUGCUCAGUUGUAUAUGUGUGCUUUGGUUUUGUGUGUGUAUGUUUCUAUGAUGAGUUUUGGAUAGCAGUGUAAAAUGCGUCCCUUACUCUAGGAAGCAAGUAGAAAAGCUUUAAAGUCACUCCUCCGAGCAUGCUGCUGGCACUUUGGGAGGCCGAGGUGGGCAGAUCACUUG